UGGGGAAUAUUGCACAAUGGGCGCAAGCCUGAUGCAGCCAUGCCGCGUGUAUGAAGAAGGCCUUCGGGUUGUAAAGUACUUUCAGCGGGGAGGAAGGCGAUAAGGUUAAUAACCUUGUCGAUUGACGUUACCCGCAGAAGAAGCACCGGCUAACUCCGUGCCAGCAGCCGCGGUAAUACGGAGGGUGCAAGCGUUAAUCGGAAUUACUGGGCGUAAAGCGCACGCAGGCGGUCUGUCAAGUCGGAUGUGAAAUCCCCGGGCUCAACCUGGGAACUGCAUUCGAAACUGGCAGGCUAGAGUCUUGUAGAGGGGGGUAGAAUUCCAGGUGUAGCGGUGAAAUGCGUAGAGAUCUGGAGGAAUACCGGUGGCGAAGGCGGCCCCCUGGACAAAGACUGACGCUCAGGUGCGAAAGCGUGGGGAUCAAACA
rnacentral:rRNA from 1 species